GACGAACGCUGGCGGCGUGCUUAACACAUGCAAGUCGAACGGAAAGGCCCUGCUUUUGUGGGGUGCUCGAGUGGCGAACGGGUGAGUAACACGUGAGUAACCUGCCCUUGACUUUGGGAUAACUUCAGGAAACUGGGGCUAAUACCGGAUAGGAGCUCCUGCUGCAUGGUGGGGGUUGGAAAGUUUCGGCGGUUGGGGAUGGACUCGCGGCUUAUCAGCUUGUUGGUGGGGUAGGGGCUUACGAAGGCUUUGACGGGUAGCCGGCCUGGGAGGGUAACCGGCCACAUUGGGACUGAGAUACGGAGCAGACUCCUACGGGAGGCAGCAGUGGGGAAUAUUGCACAAUGGGCGGAAGCCUGAUGCAGCAACGCCGCGUGCGGGAUGACGGGCUUCGGGUUGUAAACCGCUUUCGCCUGUGACGAAGCGUGAGUGACGGUAAUGGGUAAAGAAGCAACGGCUAACUACGUG
rnacentral:rRNA from 1 species